UACAGGGGGGGCAAGCGUUGUUCGGAAUUACUGGGCGUAAAGGGUUUGUAGGUGGCUUGCUAAGUCAGACGUGAAAUCCCUCAGCUUAACUGGGGAACUGCGUCUGAUACUGGCGAGCUUGAGUGCAGGAGAGGAACGCGGAAUUCCAGGUGUAGCGGUGAAAUGCGUAGAUAUCUGGAGGAACACCGGUGGCGAAGGCGGCGUUCUGGACUGCAACUGACACUGAAAAACGAAAGCCAGGGGAGCAAACAGG
rnacentral:rRNA from 1 species